UACGAAGGGUGCAAGCGUUACUCGGAAUUACUGGGCGUAAAGCGUGCGUAGGUGGUUUGUUAAGUCUGAUGUGAAAGCCCUGGGCUCAACCUGGGAAUUGCACUCGAUACUGGCGAGCUAGAGUACGGUAGAGGGCGGCGGAAUUCCGGGUGUAGCGGUGAAAUGCGUAGAUAUCCGGAGGAACACCGAUGGCGAAGGCAACCGCCUGGGCCUGUACUGACGCUGAGACACGAAAGCGUGGGGAGCAAACAGG
rnacentral:rRNA from 1 species